AUGCGGGCUCUUUUCUGGAACAUCCGCGGCUUCGGCCAUGAUGGUCGUCGCCGCCAGUUAGUGGAGUACAUGCGGGAUGAGCACAUCGACAUUGUUGCUGUGCAAGAGACCAUGCGUCGCGAUUUCUCGCUUCCUGAGCUUGACCGGCUGAGCUCUCAC
rnacentral:rRNA from 1 species